AAGAUGGGGCCUUAAUUUUGCAGCUGGGCCAGAGUACCGCACAUCAGACGCAAAGAGUCCUCGCUUUGUAUCAAUUGUCCAUAUCCAUGCAUCAACAAGCUCGGAAAGGACAAGAGAUACCAGUUGAGGAGCAGCAGAAACCAACCAGGUCCAAAUAAAAAUUCCAGUUUCCAUAGCAUCUGGAGUAGAUAUAUAAGCUGGACACCAACAAAGGAGACGCAGUAAUUGAGAAAAGCCUUCCACAUUUGUUUUUGACUCAGCCCCCUGAUGCAACAAUAAGAGAGAUUAGAAUGUACAACACAUAGUAGCUGGUUGAUACCCACAUACAUGUGCUCCUCCACCCAUCUAUAUUUUUGAUUAGAAAACCUUACCAGGUUUGACAAAAGUAGUGCGGUUGCUUGAGAACAAGUUUCUCGGAAUUGCGACUUGUCCACCUCUCCGCCUUUUUCAGCAGUAUUAACAAAUUGCUGAAGGAGACGCACAAACCGCGCAAUUAACAUCUCAUUAAAUGAGUCAUCCUCUGGUUGUGGUGCCUGGGAAAACGCCCCAGAUAUUAAUCUUUGAAGGCCACCACCAAAACCACUAGGCGUCGAGCUAGAUUGAAAGCCACCAAUACUGUUGUACAACCUUCGCAUGCCAGCAAUUUCUCCAGCAUGGUUGCACUUUACCGUUGCACUGACAACACCAGUACCAAGUACCUCCAAGUUAAAGGAUUCAGAAACUUUUACGUUUGCCCCUGAUGCUGCAGCUGCUGCAGCCAUCACCGCUGGAAUAUUUGCAGUUCUUAUCCCAGACCAAAUUUCAUUUUUCCCAGUUCCAAUCAUUAUCUCAGAUAAAAGAGAAACGACGUCAGUUGUAGUUUGUGCUCGCUGCCAUGUGUUUGCCUUACACAGCUUAUCCUGAGGUGCAUAUUAAAACUCAGAGAAGUAACGUGAAACACUAUUGUAACUCAAAAGGAAAUUGCAAGAACAAUUAAAAAUAAGCACAAACCACUGAAAAGAUCCCUGCAAUGAGAAUAUUUGCAAAAUUAAUCCAUAGAACAAUAACUUAAGAGUUAAGCCCCUAGGUCCAAAGCAAUUAAGAGUUUGUACGUGGAACAAGAACAGACUCAUGACAAUCUCAGAAACUAACAUAAGAAACUGUAAAUGUAAAAGGGACCAUGGUACAGAAAUAAUACAGUAAUUACGGUAGUUAAAAAGAGAAAAAUUGAAUCCGAGCUGCUUGAAUCAUUUCGAGAAAAAAUAGUCUAAAACAAGAAACAAGUUCGUUAAAGACAGUAGAAGGAAGUAAAACAUGCCACUGCAAGAGAACAUAGACAGGAAUUAUAUCUCCACAUUAGGUCUCUGUUUGAAAAUGUCAAACUAACAGAUUGAACUGGAGAAAUAGAAAGCUGUCUUAAAAAGGAAAUUUGAAUGUGCAAAUAGAGGACAGUAUGAGUUGGUAAAAAGAAGGAAACCUGAAGCAAACCCUGACUGGUACAUGGAGCAUAUGAAAGCGAUAUUAUGAUCCAUUCUCGAACAACUUUCUGGUAUAAGGAUCGAACAGCAGCAGUCCAAGCGGGAUCAUUGACAACUGUUGAAGGUGUAUUAUUAUGAACAGAAAACAGUAAACUGUCCAGACACGACGAAUGCCAGAGGACCUGCAUUUUCUCAUUGUCAGUCAACAACGUAGCAGAUGGAAAAAUUCCUAAAGAACAGUUGAAGAAGGCAAAAGGCAAACAUACAGCGCACAGACAGAAGGCAAACACAGAAAGUCAGUAACAGUAGCAAAAUGCAGUAAUAAAAGAAACAGAGGGAGAAAAAUAAACUACUGGCUGUACAACGGAGAGGGAUAUGUAGAGGACAUUAAACAGUUAAAUAUAUAUAUGAUAGACGUUGAAACAGAAAUCACAAAAUACUUGAAAAUCCACAUUAAAAACAGACUACACCACUGGUGUAUAUGAGGAAAUUGAUCAUAUGUUAGAGAUAGAAAGAAACAGGAAACAGAAAAAGAAACCAGAAAAUGUACACCCAUUUACCUGAGGAAACUUGUCCCGUAGCUGAGUCAAUAGGUUCACAGAGAUAUCUCGAACGUGUUCAUCUCUCUGUGACAUACUCUUUAUGAGGAAACAAGCAUGUGCAUAGGUUGUCAGUUCUCUAUUAAGAGCAUCUUUCCCAGUAUGAGAUAUUCGAUCUUCCUGAAACCAGAUGAAAAUUGGUACAUUAUACUGUUGGAACUUUAGAAGCAGUAAGAAAACAGAAAGGCAGAGCUGGUGUUGGUGACAAAAAGACGAAAAUGCAUAUACAAAGGGGUAGAAGGAAUGAAUGCAAUAGAGUUGCAACCAAAAAACACUUGGCCAAAGAUGAGCUCAAAUAGUACGACCAGGUAUUUACAUACCAGCCAUGAGACAGCUGUUUCAAAGGAUCUAUGCACAAUUGCCGUCAAACACUGGGAAACAGCAGGAGUAAGAUUUGGAGUUUUCAGAUAUUCGAAGACACAGCUGAAGGCACUUCUAGAAGCAGAUACACUUGAGUCACCGUUAAGGAUACCCCCGUUGCUAAUAAAGCGUAUGAUUUCUAAUAACGCAACAGCAAGCAAAUAGGUAGCCUUCACUCCUGAAAGAAUUUAAAGAAAGAGAGAAAUUCUGAGUAUCUAAGAUAGCCACACUAAAAUCCAUCAAGCAGAUAUGGAACAAUAACUCCUUGUUUGUUUUACCAGAUAUGGUGUUCAUUGCUGCAACGUCAACUCGGCCACCUAAGGCAGUUGAAAGAGCAAGUCUCUGUGUUGAAGCUACUUUCUCAUUUCCAUUUCCUCGACGACUACCAGGAUUAUGAAGGGCGUUGAGUUCUAAUUCGUCUUCAAGCCAUUUUACAGAACUAACAACCUACAAAGAGCAAUGCUCGAAUAGUUAAAAUUAUAUUAAAGAGCAAAAGGAUCUCCUGGGAGAUGUAGACCCAAUAUUUAAAAGGCUUAUAAUCGGGUGAACCAUAAAUUAAACUCUAAAAAUGACCUUCUAGACUGACUUACAAGGGGGGGAGUGCCUUGAGAAAUCCGCUGAACAGCAAGAGCCCACUGAGUAUUCCACAUGUAAGGCCCUCCCACAGCUUGCAAGCCACUCAUGCUUCCCGAACUGUUCGCUGAAUUGGAGGUUGACUUUACAGCUGGUGUUGGAGCUUUCAAAAUAGGAGGUGCUAGACCAAAAAGGGCUAUAUAGAACCAAAGAUUACGGAAAAGCUUCAAAAGUGAGGGUUCCACAUCCAAAGUGGGAUCAAAAUCCGAACAUAUCUCCGCCACAGCAGGAAGAAGAGGCCCUAAAAAAUCCACACCACUCCUGGAAGAAAAGGAAACACUGUAUAAAUAUUCCAGUCAAUAUGAAGAACAAAAAAAACUUUUGAGGUGGAGAAACAUGAAGUGGAUAUUGUCCAAUUAUUCUAAGCUUUUAGGAAAAUUGUGGAGUGAAAAAUGAUUAUUUUAUCUAUGAUGUUAACAGCAUGACCAUAACAUUGAUCAUCCCUCAUGCAAUACUUAGCCCUUGCUAGGAGCGUAUAGGCCAGCAUAUUUCUCGUAAUUUGUACAGAUUUUCUUAUGUACAAAUACUUUAUUAGACUAACCAUAAACAGUGAAAAAACUCUGUGUUUAUACAAGCUAUAGAAAAGACGUCAUUUGUUAUUGACGUGCACAAAAAUAAAACAAAGGUAAAACAGAGAUGAUAAAAUCGACCUAAGCAACAUUAGAAAUUUUAAAACUCAACCUAGAGAUAAUAAAACUGCCAUGUUAAAUGACCAUAAAAAUAACAGACAAUAGCCCGGACAGUUCAUGCAUUGUGCAAAGGCGGUUCAUGUUAAAUCCUAAGGUGGACAAAACACUUAGAGAGCCAAUGAUAGUACAUAGUCAAGAAAAGAAAGUAAAGAAAAAAACAAAUGUUUGCCGCCAUAUCAAAGAUGUAUGGUGCAACACUCAAUGCCUCAUAUGAAGGAAAAAAAAAGGAAUUAGCAAAAGAUAACCUGUAUAUUCGAUCUUCCAAUAGCUGAAGCCCAGAUCUAAAUUUCUGCAUAUUGCCUUGUGUUUGGCAUGAGCAGAACUUCAGUCCAAGGAGCAUUAAAGAGAAAAAGGUACCAGCAGCAGCAGGGUGGCGAGUAAAGCACCAGUCAAGGUCUGUACUCCGUUGUAACAUCCUACCAAGCAGCAAUAGUUGCUCCGUGCUAUUAUGUCGAACAACCUAAAGAGGCAUUGGAUAAGAAACUCACUCAAAUAUCCUUCUAUGAUUCCUUAUUGAUCAGUUAGCAAAUUCUCAACUGAAACGAAAUCACUCCAAGACCACAAUUUUGACACCUGAGGUCUUUCAUAGAUAGAGAUAUUCGAUUUAACUAGUAUACUAACGCAAGUCAGCACUAGUAACACUCUAGACCGACUUAACGAAUGACUAUAAGAAUUGAGGUGAACCACCUACAUGUUCCUUCUUUAUAAGAAAAAGUAUAGAGAUAAAUCCUAACCUCAAAACGGUCAAUUAAAAAUCCAAGCCAUAGUCUGUGCGCGACUAUUUGGUCAACAGGAUCACUUUCAGGUGAUUCUUCUGGUUCCCCAGGGGCAAGAUGGGGCCUUAAUUUUGCAGCUGGGCCAGAGUACCGCACAUCAGACGCAAAGAGUCCUCGCUUUGUAUCAAUUGUCCAUAUCCAUGCAUCAACAAGCUCGGAAAGGACAAGAGAUACCAGUUGAGGAGCAGCAGAAACCAACCAGGUCCAAAUAAAAAUUCCAGUUUCCAUAGCAUCUGGAGUAGAUAUAUAAGCUGGACACCAACAAAGGAGACGCAGUAAUUGAGAAAAGCCUUCCACAUUUGUUUUUGACUCAGCCCCC
rnacentral:lncRNA from 1 species